AAGGCUCUAGCUUAAUUAAAGCGUCUGAGUUGCAUUUAGAAGAUGCAGGUUAAUAUCCUGUGGGUCUUA
rnacentral:tRNA from 1 species